GUUUUCUUUCCUUACCCCCCCCCUCCCCUCUUGUUUCUUACCCCUGCUAGGCGAGCUCCUGUAGCCAGGCGCCUAACGCGGCGGUGCCGGCGCGGGGAGGGAAGGGAGCGUGGAAAGGGGCAGUUUUCGCCUUUGUUUUAAGGGCUCCGGCCGUGGCGUCCUGGGGGCGGUGAGACGCAGGACGAGCGUCGGGCGGAGAGCAGCUCCGCCGCCCUGCUUCCUCGGGGAAGGCUUAGGAAGAGAGGGAGAGAUGCAGCUGUCAGCGGUGACUCGGGGGCUAGCCAGGCUGCUGGGGCUUAGGCGGCGGAUUUGUGGGAAGAGGACGGGAUGAGAAAUAACCGCACCUGGCAGCGGUGUUAGGAGAGGGGAGGGAAGGAGACGGAGAGGGGCUGGGUACCCCCGCAGGCUGCCGGAGCCCGUGGAUGUUUGCACCGGGCGGGGAGGCUCCCCGCCGAGCUGCAAUGGACGCUGCCCGCCGCUGGCCGCAGAGCGGAGCCGCCGCCGCCGCCGCCGCCGAGGGAGAACUGCUCGCCAGGAGCCGGCCCGCAGCGCGCCCCUCGCCCGGCGCCGAGGAGGGACGGGGGGGGUCUCCUCUUCGGCAACGCUCCGGUGAACGUAGGCUCUGCAGCCGGCCGCCCAGAUAGGUGGCAUGGCAGCCACGGCUCGAGCGAAUAGAACUCCUUGGAUGAAUCGGAAGGAAGCACCGGGAGCAUUCGGUGAUGUCCGUGGGAGGAAGGCACAAGCCACCACCAAGGCCCUUUUCCCUCCAUCUUGAGCCUUCCGUGGUGAUUUGCAGCAGCACAGGGAAGUAUGAAGCACCGAGGGACUGAUGUCAGUGUUUAAAUCUGAUUUCACUUCAGCAUAAAUGACCAUGCAAGGUUCAGAUCAGCAGAAGACCAGGGGUAGAAUAGCAGAAGUACUUAAGGUGCCUCUUUUAAAAGUUCUCUUUUGUAUAUCUAAAGAUUAAGGAGCUAUUUAGAAAAGAUGACUCUGCACAUGUGUUUUGUUUACUAUCCUAACAGAAGAUGAUGGUCUGCAUUAUCUUACAUGCUAGAUACAUCUUGGGUGAAUCUGUCUCACCUUACUGAUUUCAGGGUAGCUGUAUUAAGUUAGUUAAGGAACUAACCCAGCUAAGUUUUAAAUAAUUGGAAUAAUAUUGUCCCUCUCUUUCGGUCAGAUUUGCCCUUCAUGCUACUUGUGUUUCAUAAUCCUCCUAGCUCUCCAUUUCAUCAUUGCAAGACUAGCAUCAUUAUUGUAAAAAAAAAAAAAAAAAAAAAGAAGAGGGAAAAAAACCUUAAAAGAUAGUCUUUUUACAAUCUGAUCUUAUUUUCAUGUUUAAAUAAAUUUACGGCACAAACUCAUCCUGGUUUUUUAAUAGGCCAAUUUAGUUUCAUUUACUUACACUGGUAUUUUUUAGAGCCAGAAGCUCUCAGGAAGAGAAUGUGUUCAAUGCACCAGAACCCUUUAGGGUUUUGAUGAAAGAUAUGAUAUCAUGAGUAACAUCUCCACUUCUGUUAUUCGUCUUACAUAGUAGCGACAAGAUUGAAUCACCAUUUUUAGCUAUUCUUCAGCAGAACUCGUAGUCUAUCAAUGUGUCAGCUCAACAGCAGUUUUCUCUUCACACUAAUGUGAACCAGAAGGUCCAGCUAUCACUGAUUUUGACAAUUUUAUUUUAUCUGAGAUUGCAUGUAUUGCAGAAGUUUGAAGAAAAUGAAUUAUAUGACCUAUUAUAUUUUCCUAAAGAUCUACAAAACAUAAAAUAUGUCAUCUAAAACAUUUCGCGCUCAUUUGUACCGGGUAACAUUCCUAAGUUAGGUGUUUCAUAAGCCUUAAGCUAUAAGCACUAUAAAAUAUUUGUGUGAUAAAUAACAAGUAUAAGAUCAAAUGUGGGUCCCCUAUUUUUUUGAAUGCCUCAGAUAGCUCUCUGUGGUGUUACAUAAUGCAUCAUAAAGAAAUACGUGCCUUCAUUCUCUUUAAAUCACUCCAGCAUGGAUAGUACUAAGCCUUCCUUCAAGUCCUUGUUAUGCAAGUCUUUGCUACUGUUAAUAGCUGUCAGCACUGCAUGGUUACUUAAAAAACAAGGUAACGGCAGACUUUUUGUAAAGCUCCUUCCAUUUCUGGAAUUUACAAUGAGUCAGUUCCAGGUGCGUUGCUCCCUUUUCUCAACUAUAAACUAAAUUAUUAUGAACAAGCAGUUUUUUCCCCAUUAGAAGAAAGUCCCAUUCAUUCCAGUACAUCACAAGGUAAUCUCUUUUUUUCUUUAGUUGCAUCUAUAAGCAUAUUAUGAGUAUCUGAAUGCACUUGUCCGGUGUCAAAGCACAGUGGAACAGACCAGAAUGCAGUAAUAUUUUGAAUGUCUGUUAGAAAAUGCAGGCAUAUAACCAAGUACUGAAAAAAUACGUAGCAUAGUAAAAAAUCCACUACCAAUGUAGCAGAGCUAUUAGAUAACAAAAAAUCCAUAUAGGCAUUAAGUACUAUUAUUGAAAGUAAAAUCUGUUAUACAGUAUAAGCAGCAUUGAAGUGAAAUUGAUGAGACAUCUAUAUAGAACAGAAAGAACCAUUUUUUAAAGCUAUGAUGUUACGAUGUUCUGUAUUUCUUUACUUGGGAAAUGGAAUUUUCCUUGUCUUUUCGUAAAGGCAUAAAAUUAACAACAAGCACUUCAGAGAAUUAGGUGCACUGCCUGAUUUGUGGUGGUUUUUUUUUCCUCUGUCAAACGUAGAAAUCAUUGGUGGAAAAAAAUCAGGAGAAACCUGUCUGGGUUUUCCAAUAUCAUGGAGAUCUUUCCAAGAACUCUGUCCUUUAACAAGGCCUCAGUUUUAAAGAUACUGAAAUAGGAAUAUCUCAAAAUUUGUAAUACUGGCUAUAUAAAGAAAAAUUUUGCUCUCAGUUUAUACUUGUAGAAGUAUAUGUGUAGUAACUCAGUGAUGUGUCACCAGGAAAGGAGGGUUUUGUUUCAUAUUCUACUAAUAGAUGUAUUAGUUUACCAAUCCUCUAUCACAUUUUUACAUUUUUUUACCUUUUUGUUGCUCUUGUAAAUUUGGCGUACUAGCUUAUUUGUUUAUUUCCCUUUUCCUACUCAAUUAUUUUAAAAGGUUCAACUAUAUUAUGUUCAGGGUUUGGUACGACACAUGGAAAAUAUUUUUUUUUAUUCCUUUUGCAAGCAGUAGGUUGGUGGGAGGAGGUCUGCACUACAAAAUAGUAUACCUACUAAAUUGUACUCCAGUGGGAGAUUAAAUAAGAAAGAGCAGAACGGCUGAGAAGUCAUUUGUCACAGAUGUUCAUGCAGUUCUGGUAUUUUGUUUAAAGCUGGAUUCAUCAAACAUGAUAAGGAGUAAUUUCUGUCUGAUAUGAAGUUUCCAUCCAAGGAGACUAAGUGGGUUAAGUUUAAACUGUGGUUUGAAAAUACAGGGAAGUGUUACUGGACAGUUGACAGCUUGAUUCGGUAGCCAAAGUGGAUGCAAGAAACAAAAUUGGAGAAUGCUAUUUUUGCAGUGUCUAAAAUAUGUCAGUUCAGAAGUCAGCGGGAAAAUGCAUCACAAAUAUAUUACUGUGGAGCAGAGUUAUGUUAGCUACAAGACACUUUUGUCUAUGAAGCACAAAGAUUUUACCAUAAACAUUUGAAUUACGUAGAUUAUAAAGGGUACCGAUGCUGUUGGAGAGCAAGUGUGAAAUGUUGAUACGAUAACCUCCAAUACUUAAGUGGCAUUUACUGACUGCUUUUACCGUAUUUCAUAAGUUUGUAACACAAGUUUAGUAAUAACACUUAGUGAAAAUGCACGAGGUAAGCACUAGUGUAAUAUUUAUUUCAGUUUUUUUAGAUAGGCUGAUUAUCAUAUUUAAUAAAGUAGAAUAUAAAUGAGAAGGCCCAGGACUAAGAUUACUUUAAAAGGGAGAUUUUUAAAAAUGAGUAUCGGACUCAUUCUUAGUUUGUAUUAGUUGCAAUCUCUUUUAAUAUGAUUUUCCCUUUUGUAAGUUCCUUUCUGUCUCUCUUCCUUCAGAAAUACUAUUCCCCCGCCCCGAAAGGGGGAAAUGGAAUGGCUAUGAUUGGCUUCUGUUUACUGGAGCAAAAUGAUUUUUUUUCCCAAACUGAAAUAUAUGCAUUAAUUUGCUAGACUACCAGCUAUUUUCACCUAUGGUAUUUCUGAGAAAUAGAUAGUGAUGUCCAUUUUAAAUGCAGCUCACUACGUUAUAGCAUCUGUAAUCUAGCAUUUUUCUCUUUGGUAGUCAGAUACACAGAAUUGUCAGCCUGUUUGCGUUUAAGUACCUGAAAGCUGAAUUGGAAAAAAAUAUUUUUGAUACAAUAAGUUUGGCUUUUCAGUCUGUACUUCCUUUUGAGUUUUCUAAGUAAAUGCUACAUAGACUAUCAGAAAAAUCGAGGCUUACAUAAUCAAGCCAUACAUUUUUUCUACUGCCUCCCUUCCCCCACUUAGCUUUCAUUUUACUCUGAAAAAUGAAAAAUUUUGAAUAGAAAAUUACUAUGGCAUACUGCUUAUAUACACAUUUUCAUGAGACUGCAUAGCUAAGCUAUUCAUAUGUAUUUAGUAAAAGAAAACAGUAAGAAAAAUAUUAAAACCUUGAGGUGGCUAAACUUUAAAAUUAUAGUGAUCAUUAAAUACAGCAUUAUCUAAUAUGAUGUACCUAGCUGUGUAGCAGUGAGUCUUUUUUCUUUGCAUGGGGAAUUAGGGAACUUCUGUGUAUUUCUUAUUCAAAAAGAAAAAUAAGAACGUCGUACCCCAUUUUUUUUACUCGUAAAGCUGAUGCUCCUUCGUAAGGGAGUUGGUUUUAAUACCCAGCUUUCAGAGGAUGAGCAGUGAUUAUUGUUGACAAAAUAUAUAGCAAAAGAAUCAAAACUCCGUCCUGCUAGGUAAUUACAAAUUGAAUUAAUUACAAAGAAUAAUAUUAAAAUUUUAUCUAAAUAUGUUAACAUGAACUCUUACCCAUAGGUGGCAGUCAACUUUCACUGUAGUAGGGAUGCCAAACUUUUGGUUCAUGGUAUUCAUACUUAUGCUGAAAUAAUUUUGAUGGGGUAUGCGUAUGUGCAUGUACAUAAGUAUAUACAUGAAUGUGUGUUGAGAGAGGGGGAAGGAGGUAAAAUUAACCCUAGAAUUAAUUAGGAGGAAUCUGAAUUGUUAUAUGUAAGCAAAAGGGAUUAUAUUCUGGAGAAAAGAUCCAGGUAAUUUUAAAACCACACAAACAAUUUUUUAUCUCUCCAUUGCUGAUGCUCAUCUAAAUGAAGUAGUGAUAAUUCAAAAACGAGCAGGUGCCCCUACAAAUUGAGCAGAAAGGCAAGUGUCUCACCAGCCUUAGAGAACACGACCCCAUACCAUGCCCAAUGCUCCAAUCUACAUUUCUGUUUCGUCGCCCAUUAUCUGUAAAUUACAGAAGUGCCACAGUGACGACACUCUGCCCUGAAAAUCCCAGCAAUAAGCUGCCUUAAACAUCGAGCAAAUACAGAAAAGGUGCUCCGGGUGAAGGUGUCCUUUCAGACGUGGAGAGUGAGCAAAACCUGUGGGCUGUGGUUCUCUUUCUCUUUGCAGAGCUGCCAUUGACACUGCCUGCGAGAGCAGAGAUCUGCUCAGUUUUGCCCUCAGCUUUGUUAGGGCUUUAUGCGGUUUAUGGGGAUUUCCUUCUGCAAUACCGCUAAGGAGGCGCUUGGGACCCCACCAAAAGUGGAAGGGUUAGAAGGAGCUAAUAAGGCCAGAUCAUCUCAGUCUAAAACAAACAGAAUUUGUGAAACUACACGAGUGACAUACUAAAACGAUAGAGCUCUUCUGAGAAAAGAAGACCGAAAACUGAAAUUCAUGAGUAGGUAAAGUCAUACUCUUUUUACUAUUACAGCUACACUGGGACUCUCUUCAGUUAAGAUUAAUCUAAUACUGUGUCAAGGUAGGCCACUGUACACAUUUAGCAGAGGUCAGGAACUAGCAUUUUACAAAAUGGAAAAUUGGAAAAAUAUACAAUUAUAUGUUGCUACUACAGUGUUUUACUGUGAUGCAAGAUUAAGGGCUCAGAAUUGAGCGGAAUGGUGCAGUAUUAUUAAAACAGAAGGCCUAAUUCUCCUUAUGCAAGAGUCACAGCAACACACAUCAUUGUAUAAGCCAAAGCAGGCAGUACGAUUUCAUAGUCAAACAGGGUAUUUCCACACACAUGCAACCACGAUGUGACUAAUUAGAUACUUGCAUAUGCACAGCCCUAUUUGUUCCCCAACUGUAAUAAUUAGGAGUAUUGCACUCCAUGUUAAUUCACAGUCUUGUGUAACACUAUUGAAUACAAGAUAGCAGGUGGUGAUAAACUGGCAGGUGUGUAAAUUUGAUAUGCAUUUUGAAAAUCAGAGCUUUCAUAGUCAGCUCUGACCUUGACAUAGGCAAGACUGGAGAAGACCUCCGCAGCCGUCAGGCCUGAUCCCAGCUAUUGCAGGCAGCCGUGUUGCACUGUUCAACUUAAUCGCAGAGGUACCAGACUCCAUCUUGAAGCUACCCUUAUCAUGAGGUCACUCCUCGUUUUCCAUUCCUCUGAAUGGUUGAAGGUUUCAGAUAAUGUGUAUCAUGAGCAGCUGAACCUCUCGUGUUCUGCGAGGUCUUUGACUUCUGUUUAAAGAACAUUUCUCUCUCCUGGUGUAAAGUCCCUUCCAAUCUGUCAUGCCUUGAGCUUUCUUAAGUUACUGCCAAAACCUGCUCAGCCUCAGUUCAGCCAAAACAGCCAUGCCAUACCUGUUGUAAAGGAGGAUGCUUUUCCCUGACCAUUCUUCUAACCCUCCUUUACGCCUUUUCCACUUUCAGUAAAUCUCUUUUAACAUGCAGGGUUAGAAGUAGGCACAUCCAGAUAAGAUGUUGCCAGGGCCUCUCGUGGUGGCAUUAAUACUUUCCUAUCCCUGCUAGAUAUACAGCAACUAAUAUUUUGAUUUUUUAAAAUGUUUAUAUUCAGAACUGCCUGCUAUCAACAUCUCACAGGCCACGAGGACUGACCAAAACAUCCAACUUACCCUUUUUUAUGGAUGCUGAUAGCAAAAUUUCUUCUUACUCAUUCCUAGUUUAUGACCUUGACCUUUGCACUAUUGUACUGGUAUUGCAUGACAAGAGUGUCAAAAGGCUUUUUUAUAAGAAGGGUGUCAUCAGUUUCUUCCAAACUACAGGCUUCCUGUGAAUUUUCUGGCGUGUCCAGAUUUGUUCAGGAAUCUUUACGCUUUGCACGACUACGGACGUGAGGUGGCACAUGCACAUGAUACGGCGCAGGGCUUUACAGUUUGCUUCACAGGCUUCUCCCCCACCUUCAGAAAGGCCAAGAGGAAAAGAAACAGCAUAAGAGGGUAGCCGUGGCACCGCUGGAAACAUACCAAGGAGUGAUGAAGGAGACAGCAGAACGCGAAACCUUUAUUAUCGUAAUAACAUGGCAAAAAAUAGAAGGAAUCAGUUAAGCAACUGCAAUCAAGGUGGUAAUACGACAAGUCUAUUCGAGCAGCGGAUACCCAGAAGAGCGCACCUUCUGUGCCGUAAACCCGAGGCAGAGCACAAAUGCUCAAAAGCAGUUGUUGAACUGAAGCGUAUGGACCUCCUAAGAAACUGGGAUUCCUGCGGUGCCUACCUAUGCCACGGUCCGUUUCCUUCCAGAGGGCUCUCGGAGGAGUUGCCCGCUGUCACCCAGCAGGCCAGCAGCAGGGCAGGACUCGUGUCCCCUGAGCCCCGUCCCACCGAGCGGGAGCAGACCGAGCGCCUGGCCCUUGUGGCCGGGUGAAGGUGGGUGAGCGCGACACGACUUAACUUCAGACUGGGUGCGAUGCAAGCUGAAAGCAAAAUACUCACGAUGGCCCCUUUCUGUCGGGGAGCUUAACGAAACUCCCACUGCCAACUGCAAGAUCUGGAGGCCUGAUUUGAAGGGUGCCACUCUUUAACCUUGGGGCACGGCCAUAGAGAUAAAAGCAGAGAGUGGCAGAGUAUAGUAAUCUUCAGGACGUGUGGCAUCGUUAUCCUCAGACGCUGCAUAAGCCUGGUACAAUAGCUCCUACCGCAUCUUGUUUGAACUUGAACUAUACCUUCUUUAGGGCAGAGAAACGUUUUCAAAAUUGCCUGAACAUCAUAGCAUUUUUAAAGAAAACAAGCAAACAAACCGAAGAGCCAAGAUCUCCAGCUCGGCGCCGCUCAGCUGACAUCAGCCUCUUUGCACGAGGAGGGAGCGUAGCCUAGACCUGCUGUAGCUGUAUCACUGCAGAUGAAAAACAAGAGCAAGAUUUCCACCAACCAGGGUUUUGUCUGAAAAGGACAUCUGCUUUCUAUACGCAUACUAGCACCACCUGAGCGAUGGGGCAAGUUUUAUUUCCUGGUGACACGUAUGAAACACCCUCUAGGCACAAGAAAACAGGGUAAGUUUGGAAGAAACAACAAGAAGAGGAAAGCAGGGAGUAUUAACUACAAAUGAACGGGGCAGUCCUUAGGAGGAUAAUUUUCUCCUUUUAAAUCUGGUGCCCAUAUUAAAAUUUCUCCCAGCAGCACGUGCAUGACUGAUACUUACUCAGCUGAUAGUGCAAAGCAACAGUGACCCUGGCACCAAUGCCGAGGCAAUAUUUACAAAAGGAUGAACUAUUUUCGAACAAUGUCUCCAAUGUACUAAGCACAAACAGGCUUUUCUUCAACAUCAGGCAUGCACGUUGUCUCGUUCCAACGAUUUUGUUCAUGUACAAAUGUAUUCAUUGUGGACAAUGCAAGGAAAAUGUCAUUCUCUAUUUAUAUCCCAGUUUCCCUUUGUCCUCUUUACAGUAUCUCGGGGCAGUGAUGCAGAGCAGAGUCUUGCUCUAAACUCAUGCUAUUUUCCUCCCCGUCUUCUUCCGAAGCUCUCGCAGUCGCGGAGCCGCAGAGAGUUAAAAGCAGCAGAUUUUUUUUUUUUCUUUUGAGACACAAAGAUUGGUCUCUCUCCCUCCACCUCCCAACAGAGAAGAUCUAAGUCCUGCCUCUUGCUCCAUCACUCGGAGCACAUAAUGGUCUUGGCAGCGGAGGAUGUGGUGGUAGCAGCGUUUUGAGCCAUGUAAGUGGAUGCACCUGGCACAUCAGCGUGAAUAGGCGAUGUUAAGGCAAUUCUCCCCCAGUAAUGUAUGAAACCAUCCACUUCAUGAACAGCCUUUCUGUGAUAAAGGCUGCCUUUUUGUUGACUUGGAUAAGUUCCCCAGUAUGGUCAAAACAGAAUAAUGGAGGACUUUGAAAGAAGGGCCCUUGCACAGAAAAUAAUUAAUCUAGCAGCGGAGGGGCAGGGAGAAAGAUUUAGUGACACUUGAACACAAAAACCAAGCCCCAAGUCCUAGGACUAAACUAAAAGCAUGGGUGCAGACUCACACUGUGUUUUCAUUGUAGAACAAAUCAUUUGUCCUGAAAGCAUCAUUCUUGGGCAGGUUGGCCACCUUUUUGGGUAGGAAUUAGGAACACUAUUUUAAGUGACAUUUCAGGGAAACGCUAUUUUGCCUUUCAAGUAUCAUUUGAUUUUCUCCAGGGUGGCAAUUUCCACUGCUCUCAAGUGUGGCAUUCCACUCUGGUAAGCUUCAGUUUAUUGGUAAACUGAUAAGCAUCAUUUUAGUACAUUUAAGCACAUCCUAAAAAAAUCAAUUGGUAAAACUCCUACUUCUACAUUUAAAAUCACUUUAAAUUGGAAGCUCAACCUUAAGUGGAAUUUGCCUUUAAUAGAUUUCUGCAAUCUUUCCAACUAUGUGUAUACAAAGAAAAUAUUCAUACAUGCCUCAGAUGCAACAGUGAAAUGAAUAUAACACAUUCCACAAGUUCUAAGAAAUAGAAAAAUGCGCAUUUCUGAAGAAAGAAUAUGUGACUGUUUUCCAGUGUGAGAGUUCUGAGGCCUGUACACCCACUUGAAUGGAUCUCCCAGUAAAGAACUUCCUUUAUACCUAGGAUUCACAUCCAAUUCACUGUCAAGCAUCAAAACAUUCACUGAUCCUUAUAGACUUUGUAAAAAAUUCACUCUUUUUUCCCCAGAUAAAGUAUCUCAAUCAGGUUGAAGCAAUUUUGUUCUCUGAAAGAAAAGUUUGAGACUUAAUGAAUAUUACUAGAUGAAAAAUUUUUAACCAUAUAAUGCAUUUUAGAUAAAGGUUAUAUAUAACACCAAAUAAAUGAACUUUUCUUGUAAUUCGUACUUCUAAUAAUGCAUGAUUUUAUAUGCUUUAGCACAUAAAAGAUUAGAUAGCUUUAAAAUUUGAGCAGUGAAACUUUUAGCACAGCAUGAGAUGAAGAUAAGGAGUAUUCAGUCACUGAAAACAUCUUUCCUUCAUCACUGUCUUUCUCAUCCUUAAGGAAUUUUAAAAUUGCAAUUGAGCAAUUCUUAACUACUGGACAAAAAUAACUUCUAUUAGCUGGAAAACAUUUUAAGAUCUUUCAACUUUAGGGUAUAGAGAUAAACUGUCAUGUGAGGGCAUGCCUUAUCGUUCCCAUGAAUUGAAGUUUGACAAAGGUUGGUAAUUCUGACAUUUGGAGAGAUGAUUAAACCCCCUGAAUGAUUGAAAGCUAUGCAUAACCCUCAAGAUUAAAUGAAGAUUAAAUGAUCAUCUGUUGUGGAUGUAUGCAAUAUAUAUGAUUUCAACAGUUAGCUGGCAGCAAUCAUUCAUUCUCAUUUUUCAUUAAAUUUUUAGAAAGUAGCAUCUCCUAAAGUUAAUAUUGGCAUCUCCAAAUAAGGUUAGUAUUGAAAUUCAAAUAAUUUGGUUGUAAUCUAGUUUUGGGGGUGUUGUUUUUUUUUUUUUUUUCCCCAAAAAAUGCCUAACAUUGCUUCAUUACCAUAUUGAAAACACUCAGACAAACAACUGAUUAGUCCUCUUUCAGAUAAUGAAAAACAUUUGGAAGUGUUUUAAUACCAUUUGAGUCUCUAGUGAACAGCGUGAAAAAUAUGCUCUUUUCAGCAAAGUUUUUAAAACUGCUUUCUCAAUUUGCAAAGAGUUUCACUAUAUACGUGUCAAUACAGAAGACCUUUUCUGUCAAAACGUGUCAUUUUAUCUAAGGGCAAGUCUUGGAAAAUGCUGCUUAGCAAGUUCUUUUAAUCAGAUGAUAUAUAAUGAAUGAUUGCAGCUAACGAUAUUUUAUGCUUUUGUUGGUUCUGCAGCAACCAGUGUUACUGUUUUUUGUAAUUUCACAUUUCUUAGCAACAAAAAAGUUUAACUUCUGUUGUUGGAAGCUAUACUAGGAUUAUUUUCACAAUCUGCUCAAUUUGUCUGCUCUUACAUCUGACAAUUCACCAUAAGUGACUGAGAAACAUUUUCUGCACAAGCUACAUAAAGCCUCAUGGCAGUUAUUGCUGUCUUGGCUGAUCCAUUCAAAACCGUUUCUCCACUUAAUCCAAAAACCUAAAGCUCUUUCUUUUCAGGCUGCGUAUCUUGCCUUGUGGAAGGCGUGUUACCACUACAGUCAUGGUCAGAAUCCAGGUACAGAUGCAACAUGAUCGAUUAAAGUUACGUAGACUCAACGUUA